rnacentral:rRNA from 1 species
GGCUCAGGAUGAACGCUAGCUACAGGCUUAACACAUGCAAGUCGAGGGGCAGCAUCGCGAUAGCUUGCUAUUGCGGAUGGCGACCGGCGCACGGGUGAGUAACGCGUAUCCAACCUGCCCACCACUUGGGGAUAACCUUGCGAAAGUAAGACUAAUACCCGAUGAUAUCUCUAGAAGACAUCUGAAAGGGAUUAAAGAUUUAUCGGUGAUGGAUGGGGAUGCGUCUGAUUAGCUUGUUGGCGGGGUAACGGCCCACCAAGGCAACGAUCAGUAGGGGUUCUGAGAGGAAGGUCCCCCACAUUGGAACUGAGACACGGUCCAAACUCCUACGGGAGGCAGCAGUGAGGAAUAUUGGUCAAUGGGCGAGAGCCUGAACCAGCCAAGUAGCGUGCAGGAUGACGGCCCUAUGGGUUGUAAACUGCUUUUAUAAGGGAAUAAAGUGAGUCUCGUGAGACUUUUUGCAUGUACCUUAUGAAUAAGGACCGGCUAAUUCCGUG